GACAAAUAAACUUUUAUUUUAUUUUAUUUAACUAUUCCAAGAACAGCAGCAGCAGCCACUGCAGAGCAAUCCUCCAGUGCCUGCACCGGAACAGGCGGCGGCAAGCAUUCAUUAAGCAACACAUAAUGAGCUAUCUGAUGAACAGUCUGCACAAAAACCUGUGUACUGGGUCUUCUGGUCAGUCAGCUGAUAUUAAAGUACACAGAUGGAGAGUGGCGCAUGCAGAUUUUGAAGACUCCUAAGAUGCAUUGAACUGAAAGAGUGGCAAAAAUUAUCGGACACCCCAGACAGAGCAAAGGAGCAGAACAUCAAAAAGCAAAGGUGGUGUCGUCAGAGACAGGCUUUGGCCAGUUGGUCAAAAUUACUCUCUGCUGAAGAGAAGCAGCGAUUUGCAGGGGCAAAUGAAGACAUGAUGUCUGAUGUGAAGCCAGACCCAGAGGAACCCAAUGCAUUUUUUUAUAACAUCCCCACCCUGGUGCUCCCCUGAGUCUGAGAACCUGGUUGAGUCAGCAGACCGGAAAAGGGCAAAGCCUGCUUAUGGGGAGAAUAGGCUCCAUCAGAACGAAACUGGAGCAACCGUCCACCGCAACGCAGAAAGUCUGUUUUUGCAAUAGACCACAUACUGGACUCUACUUCCACUGACACCCCAACACACACACACACACACACACACACACACACACACACACACACACACACACACACACACACACACACACACACACAC